rnacentral:lncRNA from 1 species
GCUGCCCCCAUUAACUAAUUAGCGGCUCGUUAAUGACAGGGGACUACGAGGUGGCGGUGAAGUUCAACGAGGAGCACAUCCCGGACAGCCCCAUUGAUCCCAUCCCCCAUUCAUUGAUCCCAUUGAUCCCAUCCCCCAUUCAUUGAUCCCAUCCCCACUGACUGAUCCCAUCCCUCACUGGGGACCCAAUUAACUAAUUAGCGGCUCGUUAAUGACAGGGGACUACGAG